rnacentral:rRNA from 1 species
GACGAAGGGGGCUAGCGUUGUUCGGAAUUACUGGGCGUAAAGCGCACGUAGGCGGAUUUGUAAGUCAGGGGUGAAAUCCCGAGGCUCAACCUCGGAACUGCCUUUGAUACUGCAAAUCUCGAGUCCGGAAGAGGUGAGUGGAAUUCCUAGUGUAGAGGUGAAAUUCGUAGAUAUUAGGAAGAACACCAGUGGCGAAGGCGGCUCACUGGUCCGGUACUGACGCUGAGGUGCGAAAGCGUGGGGAGCAAACAGG